CAAAUAUUAAAGGCAACGCCUGCCCAGUGAAUAGUUAAACGGCCGCGGUAUCCUAACCGUGCAAAGGUAGCAUAAUCAUUUGUCCAUUAAUUGUGGACUCGUAUGAAAGGCAAAAUGAGAGCCCGACUGUCUCUUAUAACUAAUCAAUUAAACUGAUCCCCCAGUACAAAAGCUGAGAUACCACCAUAAGACCAGAAGACCCUGUGAAGCUUUAACUAACCUAUUAAACCCAAUAAUAAUUAAUUUCGGUUGGGGCGACCUUGGAACAAAAAAGAACUUCCAAUAUAUGACUUCAUCAUACAAAAGGCAAACAAGCCACAUUAGACCCAGUAUAUCUGAUUAAUGAACCAAGUUACUCCAGGGAUAACAGCGCUAUCUUCUUCAAGAGCCCAUAUCAAAAAGAAGGUUUACGACCUCGAUGUUGGAUCAGGACAUCCUAGUAAUGCAACCGUUACUGAGGGUUCGUUUGUUCAACGAUUAACAGCC
rnacentral:rRNA from 1 species